GACGAACGCUGGCGGCGUGCUUAACACAUGCAAGUCGAACGGAAAGGCCCUGCUUUUGUGGGGUGCUCGAGUGGCGAACGGGUGAGUAACACGUGAGUAACCUGCCCUUGACUUUGGGAUAACUUCAGGAAACUGGGGCUAAUACCGGAUAGGAGCUCCUGCUGCAUGGUGGGGGUUGGAAAGUUUCGGCGGUUGGGGAUGGACUCGCGGCUUAUCAGCUUGUUGGUGGGGUAGUGGCUUACCAAGUCUUUGACGGGUAGCCGGCCUGAGAGGGUGACCGGCCACAGUGGGACUGAGAUACGGCCCAGACUCCUACGGGAGGCAGCAGUGGGGAAUAUUGCACAAUGGGCGGAAGCCUGAUGCAGCAACGCCGCGUGCGGGAUGACGGCCUUCGGGUUGUAAACCGCUUUCGCCUGUGACGAAGCGUGAGUGACGGUAAUGGGUAAAGAAGCACCGGCUAACUACGUG
rnacentral:rRNA from 1 species